rnacentral:lncRNA from 1 species
GGUGCCUAAGAAAAUUGUGGUAGAAGAAAAAGUACGUGUUCCUGAAGAGCCCAGAGUUCCACCAACUAAAGCACCCGAAGUACCCAAGAAAAUUGUCCCAGAAGAAAAAGUUCGUGAAGCUGUUCUGAAAAAGCCUGAAGUUCCACCAGCUAAAGUGCCAGAAGCUUCCAAAGAGGUUAUCCGCGAAGAGAAAGUGCCCUUGGCUCCUCCUAAAGAGCCUGAAGUCCCACCUGUUAAAGUACCAGAGCCUCCCAAAGAAGUAGUUCCUGAAAAGAAAGCGCCAGUGGCUCCUCCUAAAGAGCCUGAAGUCCCACCUGUUAAAGUGCCUGAGGCUCCCAAAGAAGUUGUUCCUGAAAAGAAAGUGCCAGUGCCUCCUCCUAAAAAGCCUGAAGUGCCACCCACAAAAGUCCCAGAGGUGCCAAAGGCAGCUGUCCCAGAAAAGAAGUUGCCUGAAGCUAUUCCUCCCAAACCGGAAAGUCCUCCCCCUGAAGUGCCUGAAGUGCUGCCACCGAAGGAAGUGGUCCCAGAAAAGAAA